rnacentral:piRNA from 1 species
UACUCACUUGAGAGCUGGCCAUGUUAGGU